GAUGAACGCUGGCGGCGUGCCUAACACAUGCAAGUCGAGCGAACCCUUCGGGGUGAGCGGCGGACGGGUGAGUAACGCGUGGGUAACCUGCCCUGUACACACGGAUCACAUACCGAAAGGUAUGCUAAUACGAGAUAAUAUAUUUUAAUCGCAUGGUUAAGAUAUCAAAGCUCCGGCGGUACAGGAUGGACCCACGUCUGAUUAGCUAGUUGGUGAGGUAAUGGCUAACCAAGGCGACGAUCAGUAGCCGACCUGAGAGGGUGAUCGGCCACACUGGAACUGAGACACGGGCCAGACUCCUACGGGGGGCAGCAGUGGGGAAUAUUGCACAAUGGGCGAAAGCCUGAUGCAGCAACGCCGCGUGAGCGAUGAAGGCCUUCGGGUCGUAAAGCUCUGUCCUCAAGGAAGAUAAUGACGGUACUUGAGGAGGAAGCCCCGGCUAACUACGUGCCAGCCGCCGCGGUAA
rnacentral:rRNA from 1 species